CUCAUGAACUUCAUCCCCAGGAACAUGAAACAGCUGUGGUUCCUCUUCCUCGUUCUGGUGGUGGCUCCAAGAUGUGUCCUCUCCCAGGUGCAGCUGCAGCAGUUGGGCCCUGGACUGGUGAAGCCCUCGCAGACCCUCUCCCUCACCUGUGCUGUCUCUGGAUUCUCCAUCACAACCAGUGGUUACUGCUGGGGCUGGAUCCGCCAGCCCUCAGGGAAGGGGCUCCAGUGGGUUGGGGAAAUAUGUGCUAGUGGCAACACAUACUACAGCCCUUCUCUCAAGAGCCGCACCUCCAUCACCAGAGACACGUCCAACAACCAGUUCUCUCUGCAGCUGAGCUCUGUGACCUCCGAGGACACAGCCGUGUAUUACUGUGCGAGAGACACAGUGAGGGGACUUUCAUAUUUUUUUUUCUAUUAUAAGGAGACCCUCUCCCUCACCUGCACGGUCUCUGGUGACUCCAUCACAACCAGUGAUUAUGGUUGGAGCUGGAUCCGCCAGCUCUCAGAGAAGGGGCUGGAGUGGAUGGGAGUAAUUGAUUAUAGUGGUGGUACAGCUUAUAACCCAUCGCUCAAGAGCCGCACCUCCAUCACCAGAGACACGUCCAAGAACCAGUUCUCCCUGCAGCUGAGCUCUGUGACCAAUGAGGACACAGGCGUGUAUUACUGUGCCAGAGACACAGUGACAGGAAGUCAGCGGUUUGUCCCACUCUCUGUCGAUUCCUCAGUGUCCUGGACGGAGAAACAGAUGCCUUAG